rnacentral:lncRNA from 1 species
AAAAAAGUCCUGGGGCCAAUUGAGGAUCAGUGGUAGAGGAGGGAUUUCCGGAUCCCCCGAAGAAAGACAAACGAAAGAAAGGAGAGGGAAGGUUUUCUGCCAUUUUUUGGAGGAAGAAUUCAACAACCAUGUAAAUGUGGGUAGCUAGGGUCAACAGGGGCUAUAUGAAACAGUUUAGGGCAGGUGCAGAAACAAGACAGAAGAUACAUUGAUGACAAGCCUUACCAGACGGGAGAUAGUAACGCCCAGCAGUUGUCCCUGGAAGUUCAUUGGAAUUUCUGGAAUUGAU